GAUGAAGAACGUAGCGAAAUGCGAUACUUGGUGUGAAUUGCAGAAUCCCGUGAACCAUCGAGUCUUUGAACGCAAGUUGCGCCCGAAGCCAUUAGGCCGAGGGCACGCCUGCCUGGGCGUCACACGUCGUUGCCCCCCCAUCUACUCCUUCGGGAUUGCGGGGGGCGGAUGAUGGCCUCCCGUGCGCCUUGUCGCGCGGUUGGCAUAAAUACCAAGUCCUCGGCGACGCACGCCACGACAAUCGGUGGUUGCGAAACCUCGGUUGCCCGUCGUGUGCGGUCGUCGCGCAUCGAGGGCUCGAAAAAAUUGCCGAGUUCCGGCUCGGCUUUCAACGCGACCCCAGGUCAGGCGGGGUUACCCGCUGAAUUUAAGCAUAUCAAUAAGCGGAGGA
rnacentral:misc_RNA from 1 species